rnacentral:tRNA from 2 species
GGCCCCAUGGUCAAGUGGUUAAGACACCGCCCUUUCACGGCGGUAACAGGGGUUCGAAUCCCCUUGGGGUCACCA